UACAGAGGGGGCAAGCGUUGUUCGGAAUUACUGGGCGUAAAGGGCGCGUAGGCGGCCGCCUAAGUCCGACGUGAAAUCCCAAAGCUUAACUUUGGAACUGCGUCGGAUACUGGAUGGCUUGAAUUCGGGAGAGGGAUGCAGAAUUCCAGGUGUAGCGGUGAAAUGCGUAGAUAUCUGGAGGAAUACCGGUGGCGAAGGCGGCAUCCUGGACCGGCAUUGACGCUGAGGAGCGAAAGCUAGGGGAGCAAACGGG
rnacentral:rRNA from 1 species